AGGGGCGGGGCGGGGCGGGCCGCAAGGCAUUAGAAGGCGGCCGCGGCAGAGUACAGCUCCUGCUGGGAGGCAGCGGCGCGUCGCCGGACCGGACCGGACCGGACCGGCAGGGCAGCGAGCUCCGCCUCGAAAUUAAAAUGUCAUCAUGGGUCAAGGUCACCAGGUGUCAAGUUCAAAAACCUGUUGCCAACAAAAGCUGCUUCCAGAAGAGCCUGUUCUGAAAUAGCACUGCUGAUCCCUUCUGUGUUAGUAUAAAUCCUUACAGAAGAGUCAUUUUUCCCAAGGUGAUUAUUUAGAGACUUUGAAGAUCUGAAUAGAUGAUGACCACACCAGGGGUGACUGCAGAGAGAAGCAAUACCUGCAGUUUUACCAACAGAUAUGGAAAGAAUAUGAUGGAGACCUGUGUCAUUGUUGUGUAGGUUUCUGUUAAGAUCUUUCAGCUAAUUUUAUUAUGUGGGUAAGUGUUACCCACUUCAGAAAGGUCUGAUCUUGAUGUAUGUAGUGUUUGAAAAUUACAUCUAUUAAUGUUUCUGACCCUCCUUGAUAUUGUUCUAGCUAGUUAUAAAACUUGGGCAUCUCCCAGGUCUUUGGACUAUUAGGUCCAUGAGGGGACCUCUCUAGGUUCUUCAAAAAAAUAAAUACAUUUAGUGACUCAGGAAUUAAGUCUGAUUGUUAUUUCAGAUUUUUGUCUAAUCUGAUUGUAAUUUCUUAUGUUUUAGAGGCUACUUUGCAGGAUUUGGUUAGGUUUUGUGGUCUCUUAAAUUAGGCAUAUUAAAUGUAGCUUCAGAUUUUUGCCUGUGAUGUCUGCAAUUUUUGAUGCAUAUCAGGUACCUUUCUAAUUGGAAAAGAUGCCUUUCACUGCUGCCAAGAGAGUCAAAAAGUGAAGUUGGCUACAUAAAGACUCUCAAAUGCAUGGAAUUUUACGUUUUUCUCUAGUCUAUAGUUCUUAGUACUUGAAGCAAAACUGGAAGAAUUCUUUGAAAAAUGACUUUUUUAGUUUAACAUUCUGUUAAAUUAGAGACAAAUUUCUAUCACAGGUGACUUAUUUUUCCUUAUUUAUCAACUGAAAUAUUUGAGGGGCUGCAUCAUGCUACUUUUUAAUUCCUAUUUCAAACUAUUACUGUGACUUUUCUAAGGAAAUAAAGUUUUCUAGUAAAAUAAAAAAGGACUGAAACUUCAAGAAAUAAAUUCCUAACAAGGUAAGAUAAUGAAGUGGAAGAAAGGCAAGAUUGCUUGCUUCUCUCUUUUAAUCCUGGAAGAGUUGGUUUUCAUUGUAUAGCUGUCUGUUGUCUGGAGAUGAGAUGGGUUGACUUCAAUAUGGAGAUAUUGACCGAUAUGCAAAGUUGGUUUUUUGGUUUCCUAAGAGGGCUAUUUAGAGGACUGGAAGUCUUACUCUACCUCUGGUAUUUCCUUAAAAUUCACUAUUGUUUCUUUGAUAUUCUAACUUUCAUUUCUCUUCUCCCCAGCAUAGUAUUUUAUGCUUUGUAUUCCAUAUCAAGUUUGUUACUGGUAUUACCUUCCUAUGUAUUUAACCCAUUUGAAACAUGUAGGCAAUACAGGCCAUAUAUUUUGCAUUUGCUUAUCUUCUAAUAACAGAAUCAGUUUACCUUUCAAGUUGUGCUGAGACAAUCAUUCUUUUGUGUUGGAUCCUGGAUCUGUAAAUAAAGUAUUUGAUGCCUUUCUUCCUCCCUGACCUCUGCAUCUGACAUAGCCCUGUCUGAUACCCAGAUCAGGUUGGGAAAACAUGAGAGGCUGUCCAUCUCUUGUUCAUGGACUGAUGCAGAAGCAUAGUGGUAGGUGGUCUCCUCAAAUAUGAGUUGGAAAUUCUCUGCCAGUAUCAUGAGCUAGUGCUCUAUGAAAUGUUUGUUCAGUAGUAAAGUUGAAGUUCAGACAGGAAAAACUACAGUUGCUGCAGCUGGGUUGGCUAAUUCACCUGAAGUGUAAUGGUCAGGUGUGUGUGUUGGAGCAGGUUGUAAAUUGACUUCUAAUGUUUUGAAACAAUUAAUAAAGUUGGAACAUUAAUUUCUAUUUCACUUGCUUUAACCUUAAAUAUGUUGCUUUUAUGUCCAAUUUAAACACUUUUUGAACUGUUAAAGUAUGCUAAAUACAAUGUAGAAAAAAUAAACAAUAUUUCUACCUCAA